CGGCCGCGAAAUUCGUCUUAGAGUUUGAUCCUGGACUCAGACGUAAGCGACUAGGACGGCGGUCUUAAUACAUGACAAGUCGAACGGCUGCACUUGCGGUGAGAGUGGCAGACGGGUGAGUAUACACGUGUGGAACCUACCUAGGGGUACGGAAUAACUCAGGGAAACUUGUGCUAAUACCGUAUACGACCUUCGGGUGAAAGAUUUAUAGCCGCCUAGAUGGGCCCGCGUUGGAUUAGCUAGUAGGUGGGGUAAAAGCUCACCAAGGCGACGAUCAUAGCUGGUCUGAGCAGGAUGAUCAGCCACACUGGGACUGAGACACGGCCCAGACUCCUACGGGAGGCAGCAGUAGGGAAUCUUGGACAAUGGGCGAAAGCCUGAUCCAGCCAUGCCGCGUGAGUGAUGGAAUGGCCUUAGGGUUGUAAAGCUCUUUCCGCCCAGGGAAGAUAAUGACGGUAGCCUGGAUAAGUAGCCCCGGCUACCUUCGUGCCCAGCUGGGUAAUACAGGGGGGGGGCUUAGGACCGUUUUGUCUGGGAAAAUUUUAACUUGGGGGGCCCGUUAGGCCGCCACCGUUUAAGGGCGGCCUUUCAAAGGUGGAGGUAAAUAUCCCCCGGGGGCCUUUUAAACCNUGGGAAACUGCCCUCCCUAAAACUUGGGGNAAAGCCUUAGUCCGAAGAGGUAGUGGUUGAGUUUUUUACCUGGCCAAGUUUGUUUCCCUAGGAACCACUGA
rnacentral:rRNA from 1 species